ACUCCUACGGGAGGCAGCAGUGGGGAAUAUUGGACAAUGGGCGAAAGCCUGAUCCAGCAAUGCCAUGUGUGUGAAGAAGGCUCUAGGGGUUGUAAAGCACUUUAGUUGGGGGAGGAAAGCUUAUGAGUUAAUAGCUUGUAGGAAGGACGUUACCCAAAGAAUAAGGACCGGCUAACUCCGUGCCAGCAGCCGCGGUAAUACGGGGGGUCCGAGCGUUAAUCGGAAUUACUGGGCGUAAAGGGUCUGUAGGUGGUUUGUUAAGUCAGAUGUGAAAGCCCAGGGCUCAACCUUGGAACUGCAUUUGAUACUGGCAAACUAGAGUAUGGUAGAGGAAUGGGGAAUUUCUGGUGUAGCGGUGAAAUGCGUAGAGAUCAGAAGGAACACCAAUGGCGAAGGCAACAUUCUGGACCGAUACUGACACUGAGGGACGAAAGCGUGGGGAUCAAACAGGAUUAGAUACCCUGGUAGGACAGUG
rnacentral:rRNA from 1 species